CCAGGUAUGGCAAAGCUAUGUGAGAAAAACCCAUAACAAAUAAUAGAAAAGUCCCAGACCUACUCCAUUCACAGACAAAGACGCUGUCUCCAACCCCGCUGGUAUUUGUCACAGUGACAGAAGGCUAACAAACACAGCAGACAGGCAGGACCCAUGAGGAAAAAGGGCAGAAGAGAGCACAGCAUGCCCAGCCGUUCUCAAAUUCACUCAUCAAGAAGUCACUCUCUCCCAGAGGCAGCGGGAAACACACAGAAUGAAGCCUUUUAAGAAAAGUGACAUCCCAUGAGAAGAUCAGUAACGUUAUCUAAAAGGGAAAUGUUGUUGCUUAGAGUCAGAAAUGACUCAAUUUGUGGUUUAAUAUAAUAAAUGUGGAUUAAAACACAUACAAACCAAAGAGGAUAAUUUUUCAGAGAUGCUAACUAAGGAAAUGUAUUGAAGGCAGAGAUUACAUAGGUUUUGAUAAUGUUUGUAUCUUGGGGGUUCCUGCUAAAUUUUUAAAAAAAAUACAAGAGGAGAUUUACACGGGGGGAAAUGUGAGUUAAGUGAGGCCACCGUUACCAAGAAAACGUGUGGAAUGCAGACAUGACUCAGCAGAGCGCUGUUUUCCUUGACACUCGUCUAUAAGACCCAAAACAAAGAGCAAGACAAAAGCUGUUGAGUGACUGUCGCGGCCUCAGAAUUCAAAGAUAGACAAGGGAAUUUUUGAAUUUUCCUGGGAUGAAGUGGGAUCUGAAGUGAAACAACAUUUUACUGUAGAGUACAUCCUCUAGAUAAAGUUAUUAUCAGCGGCUAAAGCCUGUGUUUAAUACCUGUAACCACAGUUCUAUAAACUCCUGGUCUUGCCAGAAGUUUCAGUAACAAACAACACCAAGAAGGCUACCGACAGGAGAAAAUACAGGGUCCCCAAAAUAUUAAUUAUGGACUAAUCCAAUAAGUGAGAGUGAUAUCGCAUUCACUGUUGACGUUCGGUGAGGUUUCCAAGGUGGAGGCUGCUACACGGAUCACCGCUAUGUGCAUUAUCCUAGCUGCCAGCACAGCUCUUGCCGUGAAGUAGGAGUCUGUACUUCAGCUUGGACAGUGACAAGGGACACAAGUUCAUCUGGUACAGCCUUGUAGCGUGAUGACACCCUCAAGAACUACUGGGGAAUGGGAGAGGCAGACCUGGGACCCAGGUGUAUUUGUAGACGCAGGAGAAUUUGUGUACCCAACUUUUUCAACAUCAAAAUCUUGUCAUCUCUGCAUGCUCUUGGACUGUGGAUGUCAAACGCCAUCCUCUUACCCCUUUCGCGUGUCAUCUGAAAAUGAACUGGCGCACCGACUGGUUGAUGUGAAAUGAGCCUGAUGCCAAUCAAUCAGUUGGAUCAUUCUGCCCUUCAAGUCCUUCAUGGUGAGUUUCAUAAUAGGUCGGAGUUUUGCUUUAUUUCAUGCCAGAUGAAUUGCUGAAAGUUGGUGUGCAACGAAGAGUGGAAUGAUUAAGAGAAUGAUCAAUAGUCGCUCCGCUGAGGCAAAAUAAUUUCAGUUUUCCUUCAACAUAAUAAAAAUGGCCGUCUACAGUUCUCCUCAUAACGGACUCAACGUUUCUCCUGCAGUGUGUGCACUGGUUUCAUCUGUUCUUUGGUGUGAACAACGUCUAUCCUUAGUCCACAAUUCAGGUGAAGCGUUUCCCUUCCAGUGUGCGGCGGCCUCUGUGGUGCAGUCAGAGAGGAGCCCGAAAGGCUCCUUGGAUAAGGGCACCCUUUCCGGGCUGGCGUCCCCACCUCCAGAGACAACACACCGGCAGUGCGGAGGAGCCUGUCAAGGUCAAGGUCAAGGUCAAGGGGGAGGCCCAAUCUGGUCUUGCUGUAUGUGCUGUGAGCCUUGUAAAUGACGCAAGCAUCUAGAGUUACUGUAAACCUCAGGACUUUAGCCUCCUGACUGUUCUGUCACACUAAUGGGAGCCAUGUGAUGAGGAUCAGUUUUCACUGAUGUAGACACGGAGUCUUUUAUGUGUGUGAACAUGAAGACAACAAUAUGCAAUGCAUCAGCUGUUGUAACUGUCCUACGAACCUGUUUCAGUGUUAAUCUUUUUUCUCUUUUAAACAAACAAAAAAAAAAAUCCAUACUCCAUCGUCAAAGGAAGCAAAUGUCUUUUCUUUCUAAGCAAAAUUUCUAAAGACAAAGAUUUUAAUGCACAUUUUCCCUUUUUUUGUAGUCUAUAAUAUGUGCCAUUUU